rnacentral:rRNA from 1 species
GACGAACGCUGGCGGCGUGCUUAACACAUGCAAGUCGAGCGGAAAGGCCACUUCGGUGGUACUCGAGCGGCGAACGGGUGAGUAACACGUGAGUAAUCUGCCCCUGGCUUUGGGAUAGCCACCGGAAACGGUGAUUAAUACCGGAUAUGACCACUUCACGCAUGUGAUGGUGGUGGAAAGUUUUUCGGCCAGGGAUGUGCUCGCGGCCUAUCAGCUUGAUGGUGAGGUAAUGGCUCACCAUGGCUUCGACGGGUAGCCGGCCUGAGAGGGUGACCGGUCACACUGGGAGUGAGACACGGCCAAGACUCCGACGGGAGGCAGCAGUGGGGAAUAUUGGACAAUGGGCGGAAGCCUGAUCCAGCAACGCCGCGUGAGGGAUGACGGCCUUCGGGUUGUAAACCUCUUUCGCCUGUGACGAAGCGCAAGUGACGGUAACAGGUAAAGAAGCACCGGCCAACUACGUGCCAGCAGCCGCAGUAACAC